GAAAUGCGAUAAGUAAUGUGAACUGCAGAAUUCAGUGAAUCAUCGAAUCUUUGAACGCACCUUGCGCUCCUUGGUAUUCCUUGGAGCAUGCCUGUUUGAGUAUCAUGAAAUCUUCAAAGUAAAUCUUUUGUUAACUCAAUUGGUUUCUACUUUGGUAUUGGAGGUCUUUGCAGCUUCACACCUGCUCCUCUUUGUUCAUUAGCUGGAUCUCAGUGUUAUGCUUGGUUCCACUCGGCGUGAUAAGUUAUCUAUCGCUGAGGACACUGUAAAAGGUGGCCAAGGUAAAUGCAGAUGAACCCCUUCUAAUAGUCCAUUUACUUGGACAAUACUUUUAUGAUCUGAUCUCAAAUCAGGUAGGACUACCCGCUGAACUUAAGC
rnacentral:misc_RNA from 1 species